UACAGGUGUAAAGCCACUCAGCUGAGGAUGUCGCCAAGCCAUCACGUCUCGGGCUACAUUAAGGGGAUGCUUGCUCUCCCUCUGCCAUAGAAUUACCAGGCCCUAAUUUUGAUUCACUCCACCAUGAAGGAAAUGGAUCAGAUGAGCACCUACGUUCGGCUAUGACUGAGGGCUGUGACUGGAUGCCACAUCCUAUCCUGUUAGAUCAACAAAGUAGGAGGGCUGUGCUACGUAAGAUAUGGGCCUGGCCUUCAGCAGGACUCCUCAGAAGACGGAUGGUGGCCCAGGAGGCCCAGUCAGCCAAAGAGGAACCUUCAGGAAUAUGAACUAGAGAUCAGAGAUUUUUACCUAAACAGGGGCAGAGCAUUGAAAACUGGGG
ensembl:lncRNA